UCACAGGGCAGUGAGUGGCAUUUCUUUGU
rnacentral:piRNA from 1 species